CAAAUUGUGAACACAGGAUUUUUACUUCUGUGGUGGCGUGGCUUGCUAUUAAAAUGUGGAAAAUACUUUUACACCUUGCGCAAAUUACUGUUGUGGCUGGUUGUCAAGGUUGUCAAGGUCGGGGCGUGUCGGUACAUUGCGGGGACGGCGCCCAUCAGUGGAUGUUUUGCGCUCCGCCGAACAUCACCGUGACAGAGCGAGAGAUUUGACCCCACUGCAAAUUGUAGUACUAAUAGAUGUGAAGAUGCACCUAAAGCUACUUUAAUAAUUAUAUACUUAAAAAAGUGUACAAUGUAAUACUACACACAAUAACAAAUUACAUAGAUCUGUCUGGAUCAUUAGAAGGUUUCCCAAACGUUAAUAACCUCAAACACAGUUCUACUACAUUCCGGGAAAUUACAGUUAGAUCUAAGACAUUAUUAAAAGAAGGGAUGUUCUAAAAUGUUAGAAAAUUAUUCAAUUGUAUUGCAGGUAUGUAUAGAACAUACGAGCAUAGACAGCACACAUCUUUCAACAGUCGUCCACCGACCCGACAGUAUGGACACACAUCCUUAAUACAAGUUCCACAGUGGCAGAUAAUGAAGCUAGCUCACUCCAAAACCAUCGCCAUACGUCCAGGAAACGUUCGAUCGAUUCAAAACUUAAAUUUUGGCUCAUGUUCGGUGUGGUUGCUGGAGGGAUAGUCAUUAUCUGCCUUAUAGGACUAAUCACCUACAAUGUUAUCAAUUGUGACUUAAAGGGACAUGGGAAGAUAAAAGAAUAUGGGCGAUCCAAAGGAAAAGUUCAAAAUAAGUAUUUUCGGGGCGAAACACCAUCCACUUCAACGCUUUUAUCAGCAGAAGAAGCCUAUGAAAGCGUCUAUGACACCAUUAAAAACGUACAGAAAAUAAGAGUUCAGCAACUGUCUUUGUCUACUUUUAAUAUGGAUACUAACAACGCAAAUCCAGUGAGUGGCAUUCAAAAUAACAAUCACGAUGUGUGCAACUUUGAUGGAAUAAAUACCAUUAAAAAGAAUGCUGUGAGUUUUAUCGAACAAAACGAUACCGUUACACAAAAUACAGAAACAUCAAAAACGAGACACAAAACAUGUGUGACAAUAAUAUCGGGUGAAGCCAGAUGCCAAUUAGACGAAGAUAGUGACAACACAUAUGACCAUCUUGUGAACACUCCUAGACGUUCUACACGUCUCAGCAGUAAUUACAGUCACCUCAGUUUUAAAGAUGUAUUAUAAUAGACAAUUUGUGUGGACUUUUGAAUGAUGACAGUGAUCUUAUCUUUUACAAGCUAUGAUUGUAUUAUAUUUUACAUGCUGAUUGAGAACAGUUAAAAUAUUCAAGUUUUCUUUAGAGUUCGAAAUUGUGAGUUCCCAAUGGUAUCAAAUAGUGGAUCGGCCAGUAGGCAAGACAUUACUUUUAAGACCAAGCCUUUUAAUAUUUGUUAGUACGAUUUUUUUCAAAUAAAGUGUUCGCCUGACUGCAUCGGUCUUUAACAUGUUUGAAUUAAUAAAUGCACAUUAUCAAACAUUACCUGUAAAUAAUAUUCAGUUUUGUGUGGUAAUACAUAAAUAUUACCGGGUCUGAUUGAUUGAAGCUUAACGUUAAAGGUCACAUGGUCAGGAAUAAAUUGUUUACAAAGCAGACGAUAAGUAAGUUAAGUUAUUCUAUAAAGUGAUGUCCUUUAUACUCUAUUGUCUUAAAAGAUGAUGCUUGCUCAAAAUGAGACUUCUAAUUUUAUUCAUUAAUACUGGGAUAAUACAUAUUUAAAUCUGAGCGCUGAAACACCAAUUUAAACAUUGACCCCAUCCUCUUUCCCUACCCGUUCCAAGAUGGCAACCCAAACGUUUAUUGUAAAACGAUAUCUUUCUAUUUGUGUUAACUGUUUUUGUUUUCCUUGUAUAUUUCUUUUUGAUUUUCUGUUUGGCGUUCCAAUUUUAUCUCUGUGGUAUUAACAGUGUCAUAUUUAAUAUAUAACUGGUUUGCUCAUCAAUCUCUGUAAUUCAUCUCCAUUACUCAUGUCAGAAAGAGUGGGAACAUGUUUGUUACA